rnacentral:tRNA from 1 species
GGUGAGGUAGUUCAGUGGAAGAAUACCCGGCUCUAUCACCCGGGCGGCCGCCGGUUCGAGCCCGGCUCUCACCACCA